GGUGGCUCCAGGAGUCAUGGUCUACUUUGGAACUGAUGAAAGAGGAACAUCUGGAUACGAUAUUGCACAACAUAAGACAGUGAGGAGUCUGAACAAGAUUUAGUUUUACUGAGAAAAACAGAAACUGGUUUUAAAGAACGGACCUGAUAUCUUGACGAGAUGGAACAAAGUUCUCUGUGAGCCCCGCCCACUUUGAGUCUGAUUUAAGGAUGAGACUCAGCCUCAACCAGCAGAACUUCAGCUUCAGCUGCUCUGUCUGGUCCUGCUCCAGACCGUCUUCAGAGGAAACAACUUCUCCCAGAAGUCUAAGGGAAGAAACUUUUGCUCCUUUUGCAACAAGCUCAGACGUUUCAAGUCAACGACAACAUGCC